rnacentral:rRNA from 1 species
AGUAACCUGGCGGCGUGCCUACACAUGCAAGUCGAACGGAGAUAUAACGCUGCAGAGACUUCGGUCAAAGCUUGUUGUAUCUUAGUGGCGGACGGGUGAGUAACGCGUGGGCAACCUGCCUCAUACUGGGGGAUAACAGUUGGAAACGGCUGUUAAUACCGCAUAAGCGCACAGAGUCGCAUGACUCAGUGUGAAAAACUCCGGUGGUAUGAGAUGGGCCCGCGUCAGAUUAGCCAGUUGGCGGGGUAACGGCCCACCAAAGCAACGAUCUGUAGCCGGACUGAGAGGUCGGACGGCCACAUUGGGACUGAGACACGGCCCAAACUCCUACGGGAGGCAGCAGUGGGGGAUAUUGCACAAUGGGGGAAACUCUGAUGCAGCGACGCCGCGUGAGUGAAGAAGUAUUUCGGUAUGUAAAGCUCUAUCAGCAGGGAAGAAAGGCUCGCAAGAGAGAUGACGGUACCUGACUAAGAAGCCCCGGCUAACUACGUGCCAGCAGCCGCGGUAAU